CUGCCUCGCCACAAAACCUAUAGCGUGACGACAUCCUCCUGCAAAAAAAAGAAUCUCUUGAAGCUCGACGUCCUGCUGUGGCCUCACGAUCCCUGAGAACCAGACUCCAGCUUCGUACACACAGGAAGUUGCUGCUGAAGCCACAGUCACACACAAAGGACACAUUUCUGAUUUAGAGCAUCUCGUAGUGAAAUUCGGAGAAAUUGCAUAACGUGAUAAUCCACCGAUUUAGUAGUUAAAAUUUAAUAAAUGUAUUCCCCCCUUGCAACCAUGAAUGCAACCAAUGAGGAUUUGGCAGCUGUUGCCAAUGAAGAGCUAACUUAAGAAGCGAGCGGCUCUUUCCUGGUUGACUUACUGCUCAGCAAGGUGUUUGCCUGUGCAGGGAAAGGACCAGAUUACGUCUUGGGCGAUGAAUUCAUACAAGUUAUGAGAAAUCAUCAGCUGUGUGACUUGAGGCAGUCGACGAGUGUUAGCAUGGGCCAGGCUAACACUCAAUGCUAACAAAACUAUAAUUUAAUCAUCAUUGAGCUUUGGAGCAUCUCCACUCUUUAGGUUACGCAAGUCGUCGUGAAGAUCCACUGGUGGAUACAUACAUUGAUGACUUUAGAGUCUUAUGUUCUCGUCCCUCAAGGCCAAGUCGAGCAGAAGGACCGUCGACCACAGUCGCUCAGUCUGGUUCCUCUGAGGAAGGCGAGUGGCAAAAUCCACUCUUUCCAAACCUGCAGGCGCAGGUAAAGUGCUGAGGAUCUUUCCCGGAGCAAACCAACUAACGUUUUUUCUUCAAGCCUCGUGUCUUUAAUUUGUACUGGCAGACGAUGAAAUAUUUACAAGGAACCCUACAGGCAAUUACAUUAAAAGUGUGCGGUUAGACACUGCCUACCCAUCGGCGGGGCCCCCUCGGUGAGAAGCUGAGGCCGAUUUGGUGAAUGGUCGCAAAGUUUACAACGUCAGAUUUUACUCACUAUCAAUAAUUCAGAGCUGGAAGAGGCAGAGAGAGGAGGAAGGAGGGGAGGCGGCGGCGGCGAGGGGCAGGAGAAGGGAGCGACGUUAGGAGGACACGAUGCUCCAAACAGUUGCACCUGAAGGGCAAAGACGGAAAAAGAGAGGGAGACUUUGAAGGAGAGUUCAUCACAGGGAAACCCAACAGUUCCCACAACGAGCAUCACAAACUCCCUUUCAACAGGAAGAAACCUCGACCGGUUGGGGAGGGAGAUGAGGGAAAGAGAAGGAUGGAAAGAGGAGAGAGCGAGAACAGUUGUUGUUUUAAGCUCUAUCGAACUGAUUCUUACAUUAACAAUCACAAUACUGACAUGUUAUGA
rnacentral:lncRNA from 1 species